CCUGUAAGACUGGGAUAACUUCGGGAAACCGGAGCUAAUACCGGAUAAUGCAUAACCUCUCAUGAGGUUAUGCUGAAAGAUGGUUUCGGCUAUCACUUACAGAUGGGCCCGCGGCGCAUUAGCUAGUUGGUGAGGUAACGGCUCACCAAGGCAACGAUGCGUAGCCGACCUGAGAGGGUGAUCGGCCACACUGGGACUGAGACACGGCCCAGACUCCUACGGGAGGCAGCAGUGGUCAUAG
rnacentral:rRNA from 1 species